ACGCACGCUGGCGGCGUGCCUAAUCCCUGCACGUUGAGCGCUGAAGGUUGGUACUUGUACCCACUGGAUGAGCAGCGAACGGGUGAGUAACGCGUGGGGAAUCUGCCUUUGAGCGGGGGACAACAUUUGGAAACGAAUGCUAAUACCGCAUAAAAACUUUAAACACAAGUUUUAAGUUUGAAAGAUGCAAUUGCAUCACUCAAAGAUGAUCCCGCGUUGUAUUAGCUAGUUGGUGAGGUAAAGGCUCACCAAGGCGAUGAUACAUAGCCGACCUGAGAGGGUGAUCGGCCACAUUGGGACUGAGACACGGCCCAAACUCCUACGGGAGGCAGCAGUAGGGAAUCUUCGGCAAUGGACGAAAGUCUGACCGAGCAACGCCGCGUGAGUGAAGAAGGUUGUCGGAUCGUAAAACUCUGUUGGUAGAGAAGAACGUUGGUGAGAGUGGAAAGCUCAUCAAGUGACGGUAACUACCCAGAAAGGGACGGCUAACUACGUG
rnacentral:rRNA from 1 species